ACUGGAAGGUUAGCUUAGAAGCAGCUAUCCUUUAAAGAGUGCGUAACAGCUCACCAGUCGAGAUUCAGGGCCCCGAAAAUGGACGGGGCUAAGCCGAUUACCGAUACCACGGAGCACCGCAAGGUGAUCUAGUAGGGAGGCGCUCUGCGUGGGCAGAAGCAUCUGCGUGAGCAGGUGUGGACCGCGUAGAGACGAAAAUCCUGGUAGCAGUAGCAGCAAAAUCGGGUGAGAAUCCCGAUCGCCGUAAGGGCCAGGGUUCCUCGGCAAUGUUCGUCAGCCGAGGGUCAGUCGGUCCUAAGACGUACCUUAAUCGGAGUACGCCAAAUGGGAAACAGGUUAAUAUUCCUGUACCUUUCAACAUUAAAACUGACGCUUCCGGAUAUGUCAAGCGUCCUUGCCUGGGCGUUCAAGCGUGCAAGCCUGCGGAGAGCCGUAAUGGCGAGAAACAGGCGAAAGCGUGAUGACGUAAGUUGGCAAAUUCCAGGAGCCCGUGAAAAGGGAGUUGAAAGUCCGUACCGAGAUCCAACACUGGUGCCCCAAGCUGAGAAGGCUAAGGCGUUUCGGCAUAUGCUAGCUAAGGGAAUUCGGCAAAUUGGCCAUGUAACUUCGGGAUAAGUGGUGCCUGCUUUGCAAAAAGCAGGUCGCAGCGACGAGGGGACUCUAACUGUCUAAUAACAACAUAGGUGAUUGCGAAUCCGUAAGGACUAGUACAAUCACUGAAUCCUGCCCAGUGCAGGUACCUGAAAACCCGGUUCAACGGGAAGAAGGGCCUGUCAACGGCGGGGGUAACUAUGACCCUCUUAAGGUAGCGUAGUACCUUGCCGCUUAAUUGGCGGCUUGCAUGAAUGGAACAAUGAGAGUCUCACUGUCCCUAGCUGGUACCCGGUGAACCUUACAUUCCAGUGCAGAGUCUGGAGACCCCUAAUGGGAAGUGAAGACCCCGUGGAGCUUUACUGCAGCCUGCCGUUGGGCUGUGGUUCUGAUUGUAGAGCAUAGGUAGGAGACGUCGAAGCUCGGGCGCCAGUCCGAGUGGAGUCGCCCUUGGAAUACUACCCUUUCGGAGCUACCGCCCUAACUCUGAGAAGAGGACCUCGGUAGGUGGGCAGUUUGGGUGGGGCGCCACGCCCUUGAAAAGAUAUCAAGGGCGCCCUAAGGUUGACUCAGUUGGGUCGGAAACCCAACAAAGAGUGUAAAGGCAUAAGUCAGCCUGAUGUUACCUCGCAUAGCAAGAGGUGAUAAGACGAAAGUCGGGCUUAGCGAACCUCUCAGCUCUCUUGGUGAGAGCGUUAGAUGACAGAAAAGCUACCCCGGGGAUAACAGAGUCGUCACCGGCAAGAGCACAUAUCGACCCGGUGGCUUGCUACCUCGAUGUCGGUUCUUUCCAUCCUGGCCGUGCAGCAGCGGCCAAGGGUGAGGUUGUUCGCCUAUUAAAGGAGAUCGUGAGCUGGGUUUAGACCGUCGUGAGACAGGUCGGUUACUAUCUAUUAGGGGUGUUUUGUGGUCUGAGGGUAAGCUGGUUUUAGUACGAGAGGAACAAGCCAGCGGCGCCACUGGUCGAUCGGUUGUCUGGCAAGGCACUGCCGAGCAGCUACGCGCUAACGGAUAAGGGCUGAAAGCAUCUAAGCCCGAAGCUGUGCCUGAAAAGAGACCACUCUGAGGACCCUCGUAAAAGACGAGUUUGAUAGAGUCGGGGUGUACGCACCGAGGCAACGAGGUGUUCAGCCCGCGACUACUAAAAGUCCGCUCAGCAGUC
rnacentral:rRNA from 1 species